rnacentral:rRNA from 1 species
AUUGCACGCUGGCGGCAUGCUUUACACAUGCAAGUCGAACGGCAGCGGGGACUUCGGUCCGCCGGCGAGUGGCGAACGGGUGAGUAAUGCAUCGGAACGUGCCUAUCAGUGGGGGAUAACGCUUCGAACGGAGUGCUAAUACCGCAUAUUAUCUGAGGAGAAAAGCAGGGGACCUUAGGGCCUUGCGCUGAUAGAGCGGCUGAUGUAGGAUUAGCUAGUUGGUGCGGUAAAGGCUCACCAAGGCGACGAUCCGUAGCGGGUCUGAGAGGAUGAUCCGCCACACUGGGACUGAGACACGGCCCAGACUCCUACGGGAGGCAGCAGUGGGGAAUUUUGGACAAUGGGCGAAAGCCUGAUCCAGCCAUGCCGCGUGAGUGAAGAAGGCCUUCGGGUUGUAAAGCUCUUUUGUCCGGGAGGAAAUCCUGGCCUCUAAUACAGGUCGGGGAUGACAGUACUGGAAGAAUAAGCACCGGCUAACUACGUGCCAGCAGCCGCCGCGGUAA